GUGACGGUUGUCAAAUCCAAUUUGACAAAACAAAGUCGCCUGUAUCUAAGUUAGCCGAGCGUUUUCAUCUUCUCACCUUCGCUGAAAAUGUCAAAGAUUUCAAUGUGGAAAAAUCCUGGUGGAUACGGUUGUAUCGUUUGAGUUGUAUAUCUGGCAGCGGUGAGGCAGUCAGUCACCAGAAUGUCUGCCAGCCAUAUUUUCCAGCUGGCAGCCAUGCGUAUGUGGGAAGCAGUAAAUGCCAGAGUGACUAGAUUGUUUUUUAUUCAAUCGAAUAAUAACAUUAAAAGUUUAAAAACGUAUUAAUGUUACAUAUUAGUUUCAAUAUUGUUUCUUGCAAAACAAUUAUAAAUAAAACAAGCAAUUUCUAUACAUCGGUUCUAUGUUACUAAUAUACUGUGUUAAUACCAGUACAUCAGUCUGACAAUCAAGUAUCUGUUUUUAAGGUUAUCGACGUCGACAAUAUAUUUCAAGCUACACAAAUUGGAAAGAAAAUAAUGGAAAUAUUAAAAACUGAUUCUAAUCCAAAUGAACAAUGCUUAAAAUCAAUCAAAAAUGUGUUAUGUGAUUAUCUUCGAGCAAAUUAUAGAUUGCGCCCUUCUUCGUUCUAUAAAAAUAUGUUAGCGCAGUCUCUAGUUUCUAAAUAUCCGGCUCUUGCUUCAGCGACAGGCGAUGUUCCUCAAGCACUUUGGUUUCAUCCUAACGCUCGUGGUAAAAACCGACAUUCGGGACGACUGCAUUACCAUAUGGAAUAUCUCGCGCGUAGGUCAGGGGAAAGAGUAAUCGUACGGAACAAUGUGCAGGACCAUCUUGACGUAGUACCUCUCAUACUUCCAAGCACAUCAGCAAACGAUAUUGACGAACUGAAACUUGAACUGAAGUUUCUGUGUUCUGGACCAACUACGAAGACACGAGCAGCAGAAUUAUGGCAUCUCACUUUCGCUGAUCGUAAUUUUCACCGCCAACGCGAAGAAAUGAGAACUUACCUUGAAGAUAAUCCCGUAUCAAUUGCUUUCAACGGAUAAUAGGUCAAUAAUGUACUCUACUUUUUCUAAAAUUCUCAAUGAUUACAUUAGACUUCGAAAGGCUUGGACAAGGCGUAAAAGAUAUUGAAGAGCGAUUCAAUAUUUUGAAACUGACGAUUCUUCACAAAUACCGGGAAUUGUAUCAACAUAUUGCAGAUGAAACUACUAGAAUACUGGCGAUAAUUCGAAAGUGUAAUUCUUCUCGUGGUGCUAAAAGAACAAAGGAUGUAGAUACAGAAAAAAUAAACCAGUUAAACGGUAUAAUUCAGUGGUUAAAAGUUGAUGACCCGUUUUCUGUGGUUAAUUCCUAUAUCUCGAUACAACUUUACAAAGCUGAAGGAGGAGCUAUUAUUUGGCGCGAUCUUUAAAUUCCAGUAGAGGGAGAUCGACGACACGACCUGCCACUCGUCUAUUAAAACUGUAUCGUAAAUUUAACUACCCCUCAGUAACUGGUAAUGUCAAAACGUAAUCCCUUGAAAAAAAUUUGAAACUGGCAACACAUGUUGAUAAAUUAUUGAUUUUAAUUAACAGUUACCGUAACCUUGGUUACUGCAUUUUGAAGACAUGAGAAAUGUAAACAAAACAAACUGCAAAUCGGAUAUUUUAAAGCGAAUAAUUAAAAUAGAUUUUCCGAGUGGAAUAUCUUUUCCCUUGGACACUGCUUCAGCAUCAGAGCAAAGGAUCGACUAGUCAUUCGGAUUUGCUAAAAGAAUUCUUCUGUUGUGAAAACCGAAAAGGAUCCACUUGCAAUUGAACGAACGAAGUUUUCUACGGAUAUAAAAUCCUUCAAGUUUGAGUUAUGCAUUUUUUUCCAUGAAUUGUAUUGAUAUACUAACAUUGCCCAUUGAUAAAAUAAUUGGGUUAAAAAUAAUGUGAACUGUAAGUGUACUUUCCAUUGCAAGCGAUAACCAGUGAUCGUAAGACGACGCAAAAAACUUUAGAAAGCUUGAAAGUCGAACAAUUACUGAUGGAGAAGCGAAAAGAAUUUCUUAAUUAUACUUAUAAGAAUUAUUCAUUAUUAUUAUAAAAUCCGUGUAUUGCACUUAUUGUCAGAAGAAACCAAGUGAGGGAGAAACAUUUUCUUCAAGCAAUAAUAUAAUACUUCUCGAAUUAUACUAUUUUUUAUGCGUAAUUCUCAUCUUGUGAUUGAAAGUCCUAUCAAAAGUAUUGGUUUUGUUUUUUAGCCUUGCAUCGAUUGUGGCACAAGAAAUUAGAUGAUGAUUAGUACAGUUGCUUUGAAUACGAAAGAUUUUUAAAGAAAAAAACGUAACGUGGAAUUUAAAAGUUGCUGUUUCGUUUUUAUUUAUUUUACUUUCUUUUUCAUAAAAAUAUUGAUAUUAUAAAUCCGUCUCCUGUGCUUUGCCUGUUAACUGACUGUUAAUGUCCCAAUUCAGGAGCACUGCAAUGAAUAGAAAUGAAUCUGAAUAAAAACAUAUUCAAUAAACAGGUUGUCCAAGAUAAUGUUU